CCAAAUCACAACACAACAGUUGCAUGGAGGCGCUGUAUAUUGCAAGGUGAAGACCCACAACAAUACAGAGAAAACCUCAACAAUCAUAUGACCCCCCCCGCCAUGAUAUUAUAUUUGAUAUUAUACAAAUAUACUGACAGCUGGAAAUCUGCAAUUCUAAUGUGAUUACAACCUUUUAAAUCAGUGAAUACAAGUGCUCAAUUGCAUCAAUUGCACCCUCUUGAGUCACAAAUUCACAAAUUUACUUGCUUUUGCGACGCUUCUUGCGGGAAACAUGUCGCAAAACUAUAACUGUAACUAAAGGAGGGUUGGAGGGUGGUAGGAACAGGCAUGAAGGUCAGCCAGCCAGUCAGGAAGCAGAAGACCAAGAGAUGUUCUUCUUCACUGCCCUCUGAUUCUCCACCCAUCUUGCUCAGCCAUCUACUGACCACCAGUGAGACAUUUAUCAUGCGUUAUGACCAAACACCUACCUGCUUUCCCACUGCUUUCCAAGCCUCACUCCCUGUACUCUCGGCUGUUUGAACACUUUAUAAAUAAAAUUGAAUUAAGUAUUUAA